CCCUAGUAACGGCGAGUGAAGCGGCAACAGCUCAAAUUUGAAAUCUGGCCCUCGCGGUCCGAGUUGUAAUUUGUAGAGGAUGCUUUUGGUGCGGUGCCUUCCGAGUUCCCUGGAACGGGACGCCAUAGAGGGUGAGAGCCCCGUCUGGUUGGACACCAAGCCUCUGUAAAGCUCCUUCGACGAGUCGAGUAGUUUGGGAAUGCUGCUCUAAAUGGGAGGUAUAUGUCUUCUAAAGCUAAAUACCGGCCAGAGACCGAUAGCGCACAAGUAGAGUGAUCGAAAGAUGAAAAGCACUUUGAAAAGAGGGUUAAAUAGUACGUGAAAUUGUUGAAAGGGAAGCGCUUGUGACCAGACUUGGGCUUGGUUAAUCAUCCAGCGUUCUCGCUGGUGCACUUGGCCGGCCCAGGCCA
rnacentral:rRNA from 1 species